GGCUCAGAACGAACGCUGGCGGCGCGCCUAAUACAUGCAAGUCGAACGAGAAUGUGUAGCAAUACACAUGUACAGUGGCGAACGGGUGAGGAAUACAUGGGUAACCUACCCUCGAGUGGGGAAUAACUAGCCGAAAGGUUAGCUAAUACCGCGUACGCCUCCUGGACUGCGGUUCGGGAGGGAAAGCGAUACCGUGGGUAUCGCGCUCUUGGAUGGGCUCAUGUCCUAUCAGCUUGUUGGUGAGGUAACGGCUCACCAAGGCUUCGACGGGUAGCUGAUCUGAGAGGAUGAUCAGCCACACUGGCACUGCGACACGGGCCAGACUCCUACGGGAGGCAGCAGUAAGGAAUAUUGCGCAAUGGGCGAAAGCCUGACGCAGCGACGCCGCGUGGGGGAUGAAGGUCUUCGGAUUGUAAACCCCUUUCGGGAGGGAAGAUGGGAUGGGGUAACCCAUUCGGACGGUACCUCCAGAAGCAGCCACGGCUAACUUCGUGCCAGCAGCCGCGGUAAUACGAAGGUGGCAAGCGUUGUUCGGAUUUACUGGGCGUACAGGGAGCGUAGGCGGUUGGGUAAGCCCUCCGUGAAAUCUCCAGGCUUAACCUGGAAAGUGCAGAGGGGACUGCUCAGCUAGAGGAUGGGAGAGGAGCGCGGAAUUCCCGGUGUAGCGGUGAAAUGCGUAGAGAUCGGGAGGAAGGCCGGUGGCGAAGGCGGCGCUCUGGAACAUUUCUGACGCUGAGGCUCGAAAGCGUGGGGAGCAAACAGGAUUAGAUACCCUGGUAGUCCACGCCUUAAACGAUGGAUACUAAGUGUCGGCGGGUUACCGCCGGUGCCGCAGCUAACGCAGUAAGUAUCCCGCCUGGGAAGUACGGCCCGCAGGGUGAAACUCAAA
rnacentral:rRNA from 1 species